rnacentral:SRP_RNA from 1 species
GCCGGGCGUGGUGGCGGGCGCCUGUAAUCCCAGCUACUCAGGAGGCUGAGGCAGGAGAACGGUGUGAACCUGGAAGGCAGAGCUUGCAAUGAGCCGAGAUGGCGCCACUGCACUCCAGCCUAGCGACAGAGCGAGACUCCAUCUCAAAAAAAAAAAAAACUAAAGUUUUUUUUUUGUUUUUUAAGACGGAGUCUUGCAAUGUCACCCAGGCUGGAGUGCAGUGGCGCCAUCUCGGCUCAAUGCAAGCUCCACCUCUGGGGUUGAAGCGAUUCUCCUACCUCAG